rnacentral:misc_RNA from 1 species
GAUGAAGAACGUAGCGAAAUGCGAUAAGUAAUGUGAAUUGCAGAAUUCAGUGAAUCAUCGAAUCUUUGAACGCACCUUGCGCCCUUUGGCCAUUCCGAAGGGCAUGCCUGUUUGAGUAUCAUGAACACCUCAACUCUUUAUGGUUUUCCAUGAUGAGCUUGGACUCUGGGGGUUUUGCUGGCUCACAGUCGGCUCCUCUAAAAUGAAUCAGCUUACCAGUGUUUGGUGGGUAUCAUGGGUGUGAUAACUAUCUACGCUUGUGGUUUUUCCACCAGGUAACCUUCAGCAGUGGAGGUUCGCUGGAGCUCAUAGAUGUCUCUCCUCAGUGAGGACAGCCCUUUGAAUGUUUGAUCUCAAAUCAGGUAGGACUACCCGCUGAACUUAAGCAUAUCAUAACGGAGGA